rnacentral:rRNA from 1 species
UCAAUUGUCUUAUAAUUGAAGACUGGAAUGAAUGGUUGAACGAAAUUAAAACUGUUUCAUUUGUAUUAAUUAGAAAUUGGUUUUUAAAUGAAGAGAUUUAAAUUUAAUUAAUAGACAAGAAGACCCUAUUGAGCUUAAAAUAACUUUAAAAUUAAAAAUUUAUUAUUAGAGAUUUAAGUUUUAAAUGUUUUUUAGUUGGGGCGACUAAGGAACAAGAGAAGCUUCCUUUAUUUGUUAAAUUGAUGAAUUUUGAUCCAGUAAUUGAGCUGAUUAAUGGAGAUAGUUACCAUAGGGAUAACAGCAUAAUCUUCUUGGAGAGUUCUUAUCAAAAAGGGGGGUUGUGACCUCGAUGUUGGAUUAAAAUAUCCUAAGGGUGUAGAGGC